rnacentral:tRNA from 1 species
UCGUGGUUAUCUAGGUAAUUAAGAAUCUGCCUGUAAUGCAGGAUACCCAGGUUCAAUUCCUGGGUUGGGAA